AACGAACGCUGGCGGCAUGCCUAACACAUGCAAGUCGAACGAGACCUUCGGGUCUAGUGGCGCACGGGUGCGUAACGCGUGGGAAUCUGCCCCUUGGUUCGGAAUAACACAGAGAAAUUUGUGCUAAUACCGGAUGGUGACGAAAGUCCAAAGAUUUAUCGCCAAGGGAUGAGCCCGCGUAAGAUUAGGUAGUUGGUGGGGUAAAGGCCUACCAAGCCGACGAUCUUUAGCUGGUCUGAGAGGAUGAUCAGCCACACUGGGACUGAGACACGGCCCAGACUCCUACGGGAGGCAGCAGUGGGGAAUAUUGGACAAUGGGCGAAAGCCUGAUCCAGCAAUGCCGCGUGAGUGAUGAAGGCCCUCGGGUCGUAAAGCUCUUUUACAGGGAUGAUAAUGACAGUACCUGGAGAAUAAGCUCCGGCUAACUCCGUGCCAGCAGCCGCGGUAACAC
rnacentral:rRNA from 1 species